GGAUAACCUACCCUUAGGACCGGGAUAACCUUGGGAAACUGAGGAUAAUGCUGGAUAGGCAAUUAUUCCUGCAAUGGGUUUUUGUUUAAAUGUUUUUUCGCCUAAGGAUGGGUCUGCGGCCGAUUAGGUAGUUGGUUAGGUAAUGGCUUACCAAGCCGUUGAUCGGUACGGGUUGUGAGAGCAAGAGCCCGGAGAUGGAACCUGAGACAAGGUUCCAGGCCCUACGGGGUGCAGCAGGCGCGAAACCUCCGCAAUGUGAGAAAUCGCGACGGGGGGAUCCCAAGUGCCAUUCUUAACGGGAUGGCUUUUCAUUAGUGUAAAGAGCUUUUGGAAUAAGGGCUGGGCAAGACCGGUGCCAGCCGCCGCGGUAACACCGGCAGCUCUAGUGGUAGCAGUUUUUAUUGGGCCUAAAGCGUCCGUAGCCGGUUUAAUAAGUCUCUGGUGAAAUCCUGUAGCUUAACUGUGGGAAUUGCUGGAGAUACUAUUAGACUUGAGACCGGGAGAGGUUAGAGGUACUCCCAGGGUAGAGGUGAAAUUCUGUAAUCCUGGGAGGACCGCCUGUUGCGAAGGCGUCUAACUGGAACGGUUCUGACGGUGAGGGACGAAAGUUAGGGGCGCGAACCGGAUUAGAUACCCGGGUAGUCCUAACCGUAAACGAUGCGGACUUGGUGUUGGGGUGGCUUUGAGCUGCUCCAGUGCCGAAGGGAAGCUGUUAAGUCCGCCGCCUGGGAAGUACGGUCGCAAGACUGAAACUUA
rnacentral:rRNA from 1 species